AAACAUGGGACACAACAAUCAGAAGUCUGGAUGACCUGAUAACACACAACCCAGACACACGGGAAUCCAUUGAGCUGGAGGAUCAGAGAGCCUUUGUCAGCCUGCUGACAUGCCUUCUAGAUACAGACCCAGAGAAGAGAAUCACUCCGGGGAAGGCUCUCGAUCACCCCUUUGUAACAAUGGUCCAUCUGGAAGAUGAAAUAGACACCAGCUUUUAUGUUGAAGAUUCUUUAG